CAGGUAUAGCAAACAAAAAUUAAGGCCUAUCUGUUCAGUCAUUAGGUACCAUUUCAAUAGUUCCUCUUUUAGGAUCCAUUCUAUUGGAAACUUGAAUGUGGAUUGUACCUUUGACCACUGGCUUGUUCCUGAAAAUACCUCAAGUGCCACUGGGAUCCACAACCCUCCAUCUGAAACACUCAUUGUUUUGAUUUGGGUAUGGUUUGAGUGUAUCCCCAAGGAUUUCAUGUCAUGUAAUCUUGAUCCCCAAUGUGGUGGUAUCGAGGUGGUGGAACAUUUAAGAGGUGGGGCCUAGUAGAAGAUGGUUAAGUAUUAGGGGUACUACCCUUGGGAGGGUUUAAUGCCUUUUUCAGGGGUGAAUUACUUUUCUUGGAAAUGGGUUGUUUGGCUCUCUCUCCACUUACAUUUGGUACUGGGAAUUAAACUUUGGGGCAUUUACCAGAGAGCUACAUCCCUAACCCUUUUUAUUUUGAGACAGGAUAUUGCAAAUUGCUGAAGUUGGCCUUGAACUUGUGAUUGUGAUCCUCCUGCCUCAGCCUUCUGAGUUGCUGGAAUUAUAAGCAUGUGCCACUGCAUCUGUCUCUGUGUGUUAUUUCUUCACUGAUUGGAACCAGGGUGGGAGAAAGAGUGAGUGAAUAGUCAUAGUUAUUUUCUUUAACGUAUUUCAAAUAAAAAAGAGUUGGCAAGACCAUUCAUCUCCAAAAUUAAAGUCAGUUUCAAACUGAUCUAGGGUCUUAUCAUCUGGAAUCCUUUACCUUAAAGAUCACAUAGAGGGUCUGGGAUUGUCGCUCAGUGAUAGAUCACUUGCUUAGCACUUGUGAGGUACUGGGUUUGAUUCUCAGCAUUAUAUGUAAAUUAAAAUAAAGGUUCAUUGACAACUAAAAAAAUUUUUAAAAAAUCACAUAGAAUUAUGUGACCAUUUUACAAGUACAUAAUAUAAAAUCGAGAGUUUACUUAAUUUGCUUAUAAACCAAACUAUGUUCUAUCAAACCUUUCAGAGGCUCCCAGGUGAGAUCUUCAACCUUUGCUCCAUUUACCCUCUAGGAUUUAUUUCAGAUUCCAUGAUGGUCUGGUGGAAGAUGAGAAGAGACCCAAAGUCCUGAACUGGCUCAUCUCUCAUUUCCAUGGCAGGGGGAGGCUGAGAAGGGCAGGGGAAAUUAUGAAUCCAGUUUUCCACCAAAAAACAGUGCAGCUAAGGAUACUACUUGGUUUCACCUAUGCCAAAAGAAUAUUUGGAGUACCAAAUAAGGUAAAGAAGGUGUAGAUACUUGAGAAACUGUCUUCUUUAAACUUUUCUAUGUCAACCCCCCAUUUUUUCUUUUCCUUUUCCUUUUUUUGGAGUGCAGGUGCUCUAUAAAUGAGCUACUCCUUCAGGCCUUUUUAUUAUGAGACAAGGUCUUUUUGUUGCCCAGGCUAACCUUGAACUUGCCAUCUUCCUACCUUAGCCUCCCUAGUGCUGGGAUUAUAAGUGUGUGCCAUCACUUCUUGCUUCUCUAUUCCUUUUUAAAAUAUUUCAGUAGAUUCUCAUGUAAUCUUCUUGUUCUUAAGUAAUUAUUUUUCUUUUGAACCCUGUAGCACUUUACCACUGAGCUACACCCCUCAGCCUAUUUUAUUGUUUUAUUUUGAAACAGAGUAUCCCUAAAUUGCUGAGUCUCAUGAGUUGCUGAAGCUAGCCUUUGAAUUUAGGAUCAUCCUGCUGCAUUCUGCCUCAGGCUUCUAAGUCACUGGGAUUACAGGUAUGUGUCAACAUGCCUAGCUUCAUAAAUAAUUUUUUUUCAUAAGUAAUUUUUGAAAAUGCAGUUUUCUUUAAAAAUAUUUUUCAUUAGUGCCUUAUAGUUAUACAUAACAUUGUGGUUCAUUUUUUAAACGUUUUUUUUUUUCAGUUGUUGAUGGACCUCUUUACUUUAUUCAUUUAUUUAUAUUCUGUGCUGAGAAUUGAACCCAGUGCCUCACACCUGCUAGGUAAGUGUUCUGCCACUGAGCUACAACCUCAGCCCUCAUUUUGACAUAAUUUUACAAGUAUAAAAUAUAAGUUGCUCUAAUUCAAUCCCCAGUACUUUCCUUUUUCUUCUCUCCUCCCUUGCUUUGUUCCCUUUCCUUUACACUGCAGACCUUUCUUCUGUACAGUUUUUUAAAAAAAUUAGUACAUUAUGGAUAUACAUUUAUUAAUUCUUGGUACAAUUCCCUGAACUUUAGGGAUCCUAUUGAGAAAGUUGUUGCCUUGGCCUGUGUGUUGGAGUGUUGAGCCAACACAUUUUCUUCUAGCAGUGGCAGAGUUUCUGAUCUACUUCUUAGGUCUUUGAUCCGCUUUGAUCCAGUUUCAUUUUUCUACAUAUGGCUCUCCAUUUGUUCAAAAGACUAUCUUUUCUUCAGGGUAUGUUUUUGGCAAUUUUGUCAAGUAUGAGAUGACUGUAUCUAUGUGUAUUUGUCUCUGUGUCUUCUAUUAUCUUUCAUUGAUCUUCGUGUCUGUUUUGGUGCCAAUACUAUGCUUUUUUAUUAUUAUAACUCUAGUAUAAUUUGAAAUAUGAUAUUAUGAUGCCUCCAGCAUUGCUCUUGCUCAGGACUGCUUUGGCUAUUCUGGGUCUCCUGUCCUUUCUAAUGAAUUUUAGAACUGUUUCUUCUAGUUCUUUUCAGUAGUGAGGAUUGAACAAAGGCGUUCUAUCACUAAGUUACAAACCCAGCUCUUUUUUGAGUUUAUUUUGAGACUGUGUGUGGGGGGGGGUCAUUCUUUUUUAAAUUUUUAAAAAAUUUUUGUUCUUAAAGUUAUACAUGACAGUAGAGUAUAAUUUGACUUAUUUAUACAAACAUGGAGUCCAUCUUAUUCUAAUCAGGAUCCCAGCCUUGUGCUUGUACAUGAUGAAGGAAUUCAUUAUAGUGUAUUAAUUUAAUUUUUUAAAAAUUAGUUCUCAUUAGUUAUACAUGAUAGUAGAAAUCUCUUUGAUUCCUUGUACAAAAAUGGAGCAGAAAGUUUUACUUCUCUGGUUGUACAUGAAGUAGAGUCACAGCAUUAGUGCAAUCAUACAUGUACUUAGAGUAAUGAUUCGAACUGUGGUGUAUUCAUAUAUGUACAUAGGAAAGUUAGGUCCGAAUAAUUUCACCAUCUGUCCUCCCUCCCUUCCCUUAAUUCCCCUGAGACAGUAUCUUACUAGUUGCUGAGGGUCUUGCUAAGUUGCUGAGGCUCAUCUUGAACUUGUGAUCCUUCUGCCUCAGCCUCCUGAAUUCAGGAGGUUACAGGCAUGCACCACCAAAUCAGAUUAUUUUUUCUAGUUCUGUAAGAAAUGUCAUUGGUAUUUUGAUGGGAACUGCAUUGAAUCUUCAUAAUGUUUUUGUUAGUAUGACCAUUUUGAUGGUCAUGCAGUAUUAAUAAUCCUGCCUAUCUAAGAACAUGGGAUAUCUUUCCAUCUUCUAAUGUCUUCUUCAAUUUCUUUCUUCAGUGUUAAUUUAUUUUUCAGCAGAUUUAUUGGAGUAUAGGGAAACGAUUUAUAUAUUUAUCUUGUACCCUGCUACUUUGUUUGUCAGCUUAAGAAGACUUCUGGUGGAGUUUUUUGGGGUCUUCUAAAUAAUGGGAUCAUCUCAUCAGCAAAUUGAUAAUUUGUCAUCUUAUUUUCCUAUUUAUAUCCCUUUAAUUUCCUUCUCUUGUCUGAUCAUUCUGGCUAGAGUUUUAAGGAUUAUGUUGAAUAGGAGUGGUGAGAAUGGAUAUUCUUGUCUUGUUCCUGUUUUAGAAGAAAUGCUUUAAGUUUUUUCUUUGUUCAGAAUGAUGUUAGCUUUGUGUUUGUUAUAUGUAGUCCUAAAAUGUUGAGGUAAGUUUUUUCUAUCCCUAUUUUCUCUAGUUUUAAACAUGAAUGGGUGCUAUACUUAAUUCUUCUAAUGCUUUUUCUGUAUCUAUUGAGAUGAUAAUGUGAUUCUUCCAAUUAUUAUUUUGUGGUAAAUUAUGUUGAUUUGCAUAUGUUGAAAUAACCUUGCAUCCCUAGGAUGAAAUCCAUUCUUAACAUAAUUUUUAAAAUUAGUUCUUUAUAAUUUUUUUUGUUUAUACAAGGUUCAGGAUUCAGAAAUUCAUAGUGAUUACUUUAUCUGAAUCAGGAAUUGGGAAUCUAAGAAGAUAUCUAUAAUAAUUUACAAGGAGUAAAAUGUAGGGAAAGGAGAAAUUUAUUAUAGUUAUUUGGCUGGGGAUGUAGCCCAAUGGUAGAGUGCAUGCUUAUUAUGUGCAAGUCCCUUGGUUAAAUUCCUAGCCCCACAAAACAAAUAANAAAAAUGAACAACAAUUGACAAGCCCACCCCUUUGUUCUCUCCAUUUCUUUCUUUUCCUUCUUUUUACCUUGUUUCUUCUAUUAAUUGAUAUUUGCCCUUCCUUCCUUCCUCAAAUGAUUUCUUUAUAAUUUUUCUUUCUUUUGCGCUCUCUCUCCCUUUCUUUCUUUCUUUGCUUCCUUCCUUCCUUCUUACUUAAACCUAGGGCCUCACAAACAUGCUACUACUGAGCUGCACCCCCAAUCCGUCCCUUGUAUUUCAUUGUCAUUAUACCUUCUUGAGUCUCUGAAUUAGUUUUUUUUUUUUUUGUGUGUGUGUGUGUAUUGGGGACUGAACACAGAGGUACUUUUUAAUUUUUUAUUUUGAGACAGGAUCUUGCUAAGUUGCUGAGGCUGGCUUUGAACUUGCAAUCCCCUGCCUCAGCCUCUGGAAACACUGGGAUUAUAGGCAUGAACCAACAUGCCCAGCUGUAUUAGUCUAUUUUCUAUUACAGAAAAAAAUCACUGAGACUGUGUUACUUGUAAAUAAAGGAGGUUUAUUUAGCUCACAAUUCUGGUGGCUGGAGGGUCCAAACAGCAUGGUGCCAGUCUCUUGGCAAGGACCUCCUAGCUAUGUCACAACAUUGUAGAGAAAGGAAAAGGGAACCUUCUGUAAGCACAAGAGAUUACAUGGAAAGAUAGGAAAUCAGAGAUUUUGGGGUCAGAUUUAUCCUUUUUAUAAUAACUUUUAUAAUGAUAAUCUCACAAAAACUGGUCUUUUGUGAGAACUAUGUUAAUAUCUUCUAAGGAUCAUGACCUAACAAUCUCCCAUGAGGUCCCACCUCUUAAAAGUUCCCACCACCUCUCAAUGUUGCCAUACCAGAGAUCAUCUUUCAUUACAUGAGACUUUGAGGAACAUAUUCAAACCAUAUCCCAGUCUGUUACUCUAGCAUUAUAUGGCUUUCCCUCUCUACUUUCUUUCUCUCAUCCCACUGUUUAAUUUCUUUAGUGUCUUUUUGCCCUUAUCAUCUAUACCCCAUCUCAUUCUCUUCCUCUUUCUUUUGACUUUCUCUCUCUUGUUUCUUCUCCCUGCUCCCAACUUGCCACACUUGAAAGAAGGAAUAUAACCUUGCCAAAGAUCUGAAGACAUGACUGUAUAGAAAGGGAAAAUGGAGGCCCCCUUUGUGAGGCCAAAUGGACCAAAAGGUCACUAACAAAACCAAGCCUUAAUGCCUGUAUUGUUUUCAGGACAAUGUGAAAUACGUGUAUGGUGGAUUUUUUGAAGUAUGAUUUUGCUAAGAAAUUUACUUAAUCCAUAGCAAAGAAAUAAGACUAUGAUAGGUGUAAGUUUCUAAGAGUUUAUUUUAUAGUAAAAUAUGCUAUGUCCCAAGAUAAACAAGCAAAUUUUGUUUUUACUGAGCUCAGAAUUCUCUUUUAUGUCCAUGAGAUGGCAGUAGAGCAAAAGAAAAACAUUAAAAGCCUCUAUCUCUUUAUUUCAGAGACUUGGUGAAUUUUCCCACAAAGCUGCAAUGAAGACAGAGGGAGAACAAAAUCUAUAUAAAGAGAAAUUACAAGAAGGUGUGAUAUAACACUCGAACAUAUAUACUCAUUUUGACAAAACGUGUUUGGAGCUGAAUUCUUUCUCUGCAUUUGAGUCUUUAUAAGAUAAAAGUACAUACCUUUAGGGAACUAUUAGGGAACUAUUAACUCUAAAUCCCAAUACAUGAAGUUAAUUUUAAUUGGCAAAAAGUUAAUUUGACAUUAUUAUUAAAAAUAUCUUUUGGGUUUGUUCAUUUUUUUUUCUUUCUUUUCUUCCUUUCUUUUUUACUUGUAGUUCUGGGAAUUGAACCCAGGGCCUUUCUCUUGCUAAUCAUGUAUUUUACUACUGAUUACACUCCAGCCCAAUUUUCAAGUGUCAUUUAAUUGAUUUAUUCAAGAUUAGUUAUGUUUCAGAGGACAUUUGAUUUGAAAAUUGGAAAUCCUGAGAAAGUCAGCUCUUUAGUAGAUUUUUGAAUAGUUUAACAAGAAAUUUAAGGGCAAUUUUCUCAAGAUUCUCAAAAACAAUAACAAAUAAUGACUAUGGGGAGGGAGAUAUAAAGCACAUGUGUAAAACCGUUAACAAUUGGUGUAGUUGGGUGGAAGUCAUGUGGUAUUCGUUGUACUGUUCUUGUAUAUUUUCCAUAGUUUAAAAAUGUUUCAACUAAUAAAUUUUUUUAAAAGUUUCAAAUUAAAAACUAGAAAAGCAAAAAAUGUUAUCACAUAACUUACACAUAAGAGAUUGUGUCAUAACUCAUGCAUAGUAGAUUCAUAGAAGGGAUUAUUAUGCAGCAUAACCACAACUAUAAUAAAUAUACCAAACAUAUCAGUCUAAGAAGUUUUGGAUGAGACCUACUAUUCUAGCAAAUUAAGGCCUAGUCUCUACCAUGGUUGGACCCCAGACUGGUAUUCAUCUAACACAUACUUAAUUAACAAUUACUGAAUAUGAGACUCUUUACAGGGCUUAUAGCAACCAAUAUUGUAGACAAAAUUUCUGCCCUCCUGGAGCUAGGAAAGACAUAAAAAAGCAAAUACCCAUACCAUUGAUUGUGUAAUGGUAAGUACUAGAAAGAAAAUGAAAAUUACUAUUACUUUGAUAGGGUAGUCAGUGUAGGCCGGCCUCUCGAGAGGUGACGUUGGAGUAAAAGCUUGAGCAAACCAGGUGUGGGCUCUGUGCAUCUGGAGAGAAGUUUCUAUGCAAAGACCAUGAGUCAGGUGGAUAAGCAGCCAGUAUGACUUAAUGAAAUGAAGGAUAGGAACCAGCCAGAAGAUGAGACUGGGCAGGUACUAGGGCCAGAUCAUGGUUUGGCCUUAUGAACCAGUAAGUGAACAGACAUUGAGGAGAAAAGAUCUUUAAUAGAAUGUAAUAUUAUCAAAAUCUUUGUUCAGAAAACAGUUUGGUAUUUUCUCAAAAUGUUGAACAUAGAAUUAUCAUAUUACCCAGCAGUUCUACUUCUAGGUAUGUAUUCAAAAUAAUUGAAAGCAGAGUCCCAAAGAGAGAUUUGCAUACCCAUAAUCAGAACAGUAUUAUUCACAAUGGCUGCAAGGUGAAGCAAAUUAAGUGUUCAUUGACAAAUCAAUGAAUAAGCAAAAUGUGAUAUGUACACAUACUUGGAAUAUUAUUGAAUUUUAAGAAGGAAUAAAAUUUUGAUACAUGUUACAACAUGGAUGAAACUUGAAAAGUGUUAUACUAAGUGAAAAAGAAAGAAAAAAUACUGUAUGAUUCUGCUUAUAUGAGAUACUCAGAAUAGACAAAUUCUCAGAGAAGAAAAGUAGAACAGAGGUUACCAGGGUCUAAGGGUGGUGAGUAAUGGGGAGUUAUUUUUUAAUGUGUGUGGAGUUUCUGUUUGGAAUUAUGAAAAAGUUCUGGAAAUGGUUAGUGGUGGUAGUUGCACAAUAUUAUGAAUAUACUGAAUGCCACUGAGCUGUACAAUUAAAAUGGUUAAAAUGGCAAAGUUUAUAUUAUACAUAUUUUAGUACAAUCAAAAAACUUUCUUUAUUUCUUCAUUAUUCCUAUUAUUUACUUUAUCCUCUCAAGUAACUGUUUACAAGGACAAGGACUUUAAGAUAUGGAUACUUUCUAGUAGUAUUUUUUUUUAUAUUGGGAAUUAAACCCAGGGACACUUUACUACUGAACCACGUUCUUAGCCUUUUUUAUUUUUUUGAGACAGGAUCUUGUUACGUUGCUGUAACAAGCCUCAAACUUGUAAUCCUCACGCCUUAGCCUCUUCAGUUGCUGAGAUUAAAUGCAUGUGCCCCUGCACCUGGCUUUUCUAGUAUUAUUGACCAUCAAUUUUUACUAUCUUUUCUCCUUUUUCCCUAUAUUAUGUAUGAAACAAAGACACACACACAUAUACACAUACACAACUAAAUUGCUUUAUUUAUAGUAAUUAUCAAUUUUUUUGUACUGGGGAUUAAAUCAUUGAUAAGUUGCUGAGGGCCUCCCUAAGUUGUUGAGGCUAGCCUUGAACUUGUGAUCUUCCUGCCUGGGCUACCCCACUAACCCAGUUACUGGGAUUACAUGUUAAAUGAAAUAGCAAGCUAUAAAAUUUUAUAUGGAAUAGGAUCUUAUAAGACUUGGAAUAAAAAGCACAAGCUCCAUAAACUAAAAACUAAUUUACUGAGAUGUUAAUGGUGUUCAUCUCUGGAUGCUAUCCUUAUGCAUAUUUAUUUUCAUUAUUAUUUUUAUAUAUUUUCAUUUUCUUCCAAUUAUUAUCUUUAAAAAUCUUUUAAAGACAGAAUUUGAAAGACUAGUACAAUGAUUAUCCUUGUACCUAGUUGGAUUCAACAAUUGCUUGUUUUCCCAUAUAUGAUCUAUAUCUAUUUUAUCUAUAUAUCUGCAUCAGAAGUUGAUAAGUUUUGUCUCAAGGCCAUAUCUGGCCCAUCAUCUGUUUUUGCACAGCUCUGAAUUAAGAAAUGUUUUUUUUCAUUUUUCAAAUAGCAGUAUUUUAAUUGGCUAUAUGCAUACAUACAAAGUAUCUUUGAUUUUGCCUCUUGGUCUGCAAAACCUAAAACUUCAUCAUCUUACCCUGUGUAAAAAAAAAAAAAUUCCAGCUGGGUGCAGUAGCACUUUUCUAUAAUCUCAGUGCCCCAGGAGGCUAAGGAAGGAGGAUCACUGAAAGAACUGAAACCGAGAUAUGGAGUUACCCAUAGGAGAAGUCCGUUUAUUCCAGUACAGCAGAGCUUUUUAUCCAGGGUAGGCAGAGCCCCUUAGGACAGGAGGCAAAUUCUCAUUGGAUUACAGUCAUUAGAAUGGUUUUGUCAGUCGCCCAUUGGUGACUUAUUGGCACCUUAAUCUGCAUAAAGUGGGAAACAGACCCAGAAGAGAAGCCUAGUCAGCACCAUCUUGGGGCAGGUAACCCAAUAUUUUCCCCUUUUUAGUUUAAUAAUGGGUGUAGGGUCAGAGUUCGUUCUGACUGCUUCCUGCUGAGCAGGGGCGUUGCCAGGAAGGGGCGGGGAGAACACUGGAUUACCCUGAGGUUAAUCCCCAAAGCAGCACCAAAAAACUAAAGACUUCUGAUGGGGCCAAAAAAAGUACCCUGAAACCAUAGGUCCUGGAUCACGUCCCACUAAUCUUCCUCAGUGUUCAUGGCGAAGGGCAUCCAAAAAGGUUUUCCAUGGAUCUGCCAUUUAGCAGGCCGUGAGUUGAGUGGUAGAAGACUGAUCAGGAUCUUCUGAGGCCAGUAGUUGGUAAUUCCUAAGAAGGAGCUGGUUAAAAGAUUGGUUAGAGAUUUUUGCUAUCUGAUUUUGAGCAAAUUUAAUCAUACAAGGGAGAAAGAGGCAGGCCAACAGAAUAAUGGAGAGCGGUCCCAUUAUUGGCCACAUCCAUGUCAAGAGGGGUGACUGGAGCCAGAAGGAAAAAGAAGAGGUUUGGGAUGUCUUCCUUAAGCCUGCUGCCAGAUCAUUAAGUUUAUUGAUGUUUUGUUAAGUAUCCAUUAGGAUCUGGAGCCAAGAGUAAGACAUUGUGAGUGAAGAAGAGGCUGAAGAGGAAGAGGAGUCUCGAAUUGCCUAUAUGAUAACCUCUUCUGAAUGCAGAAUGUCAGAGGACACUCGAGAAACUUGAGAUAGAAGAAGGCGGUGACCCCUGCAGCCCAUUGUGGGUCCCAUGGGUCCUUGAUGGUGAUGUUAUAUUUUUGAAUCUGGCUAACAUAGGAGCAUAUUCCCAUGUUUAAUUGGCCUGAAUAUGGACAUCCCCCAUAUACCUCUGGCCACCAACGGCAUUGUUCAUCCCAUUGAUCAUAUAGGAAACAAAGGUAUGGCCUUGAGGACUGCUGAAUAAGUUUUGUUGAGGCAGGUAAGGAUAAGUACUCAGUGUCAGAGCAACCAUGCAGGGGGCAGUCUGCCGUUGCGUUUAGGGCUGUAGUUUUAGUAUUUUUUUAAGUAUAGGUUUGUCUAGCCUUAAAUCUCCAGACAUAAGGGGAAGAAGAGACCAUAAGAAUAAGGCUUAUGAGAGUUAAGAAAAGGAGCGGCUUAGAAACCCAGGGGUUCAUUUUCCAAUAUGGGUUCAAGAAGCGCGACCUGAGACAGAUGGAGCUUAGACUGCGCCGCAUGCAGAUAAAUCCUAGGUCGGCUUGAGCCUGGAAAUAUGAAUUCAAGGAGUUAAUUGGUUAUUAGGGAGCACUAGCCUGGGUGCAGUUGGAAUACAUAAUACAACUUGUGUUGGACCUUCCCACUUUGAUAGUAAGGGACCCUUGUCUCCUGGCAGAUUAAAGAGGGCAGAUUGGCCAGGUGACAUGGAGAGAGGGAUCUGGGAGGUUUCCAGAUCUGGAAGAAGCCAGUCCUGAUGUUUCCAGAUCUCAGCAUGGAGAUGAGUAAGAAGUGGUAACGCAUAGCGACUGGGGAUGGGCCAAGAUGAUGGGGUAAGGCCCGGAGAAGGAUUGGGCUUCCAUAUAUGACCUCAAAGGGAGAGAGAGAUGACGGCUUCUUAGGUAGGGCUUGCAGGAGAAGGGCUAAAGGAAGUAGUUUAGUCCUUUAAGUCCAUGACAAAAAAGUGGGUGGUUACGGUAGGAAUUUGUGACAAAAGGGUAUAGGAGUUGGGAACCAGCGGGUGGAUGGGUUUAAUAGUGGAAUUAAUGAGGUGAUGAUCUUGAACCAGGCGGUAAGUGCCAUUAGGCUUUUUUACUGCCAGUAUGGGGGUGUUGAAUGAUGAAUGUGUGGGCCUAAUGUAUCCUUAUUAGUCUUUUAUGAUUGGCUCUAAGCUAAUGAGAGCUGCUGUAGAUAAAGGAUAUUGGGGCUGGCUGGGGAAGUAGGAGGGAUCCUUAAGUUGCGCCAAAAUGGGUGGGCAAUUUACCCUGGAUGGACUUUGAAUGUCCCAUAUUAUGGGAUCCACCAGGUGUAGGAAAGCGUCUUUCAGAGUGGGCUUCUAUUGAUGUAUCACAUUGAGAGCAGAAGGGGAGCGUAAAAUCUUCAGGCAGAAGUGUUAAAAGGAAGGAGGGCAUGGAUGAGAUUGGCAAUUGGACGGAGAGUGUAGCUCGGAGAGUGGAAAUAAUAUCUUCCCAGAAGGGGUACAAGACAUUGAGGCAUAACCAAGAAAGAAUGGGUGAAUGGGAACUUUUCUAUGGAACAAGUGGGGGGGUUUAUGAGGAAUGAUGGUCUUCCCUCCUACCCCAUCAAUAGGAGAAGAUGAAGGGAACGUGGGACCCCAAUAUUCCCUCAGGACUGAAAACGUGGCUCUGGUAUCUAUGAGGAAACUAAUAGAGUGCCCUUCUACAUAAAUUUGUACCCUAGAUUCUUGCCUGCUGAUGGUAACAGUCGGGGAGGAGGACCCAGGACCUCAUCAAUCAUUGAGUGCAAGACCCAGGAGGUCAGAGCCAGGGUGUUUGACCGCAUUCCUCCUUCGGGGAUUGGGACAAUCCGACCCCCAACGGCCCAUCUGUUGGCACUUCGGACAAGGCGUUGGAGUCCUCGGGGUUGGGCAGGCCUUUGCCCAGUGACCCUCUUUACCGCAUUUAAAGCAGGCACCCAGAGGACUCUUACCCCAGAAGGGCAGUGGUCAUUGAGCUUGUGGAGCCUUUUGUAAGACCGGGGCCAGCAUUUGAAAUUUUUGGUGUUCAAAUUUUUCAGAUCUCUGAUGCUUGAGGUGCUCAGCCUCCUUAUCCCGGUUAUGAUAUACUUUAAAGGCUAUGGCCAAAAUUUCGGUCUGAGGAGUUGCAGGAUCCUGUUCCAAUUUCUUCAAUUUAGCUUUUAUGUCGGGGUAGCUUUGGGAUAGGAAGUACGUCAUAAGGACACGUCUCCCAUCUGGAGACUCAGGAUCUAAAUUUGUAUAUUGUUGGAGGGCUUUUGUAAGGCACUCCAGGAACUCUGAAGGAGUCUCUUCCCUUUUCUGAAUAACUUCCUGAAGUUUUUGAAAGUUGACUGCUUUUCUAGAGGCCUUCUUAAGGCCUACAAUAAUACAUGUUGCAAAUUGGUCCCUCAAUUGGAGUCCAGCCACAGUAUUAUAGUCCCAGUUCAGUUCCUGGUCUGGGACCGCAUGGGGACCAGUUAGGGUGAUUAGGGUUAACUAGGUGGGUCCCAUCUGCAUGGGCCGGAGCCAAGUCCUAUACCCUUCUACAUUCCCCAGGGAGUAAUGUAUUGGCCAGGAUCAUGUAUAUAUCUUGGUGGGUGAGACUAUAGGCUUGUAAGACCCACUGAAAUUCUCUAAUAUAAGUAGUGGGGUCAAUGGUGUAAGAUCCCAGCCUCUUUUCAAGCUGUGUGAGAUCGGACAUAGAGAAGGGAACAUGGACAUGCACAAUGCCUUCAGAUCCAGCCACUUCACGUAAAGGGGCCAUAGUAAGGGGUUGACUAGAAGGAUUAUGAAGCGUGAGAGAUAGGGUUGUGGGGGGGGGCUGAAAGAGUGGGCUGGGGGUGAAGGGGAAAGUGGAGGUGGGGCAGAAGGCUGGGGUGCAGAAGAUGGUGAAGGACGAUAAGGGGGUGGUUCCUCAGCCAGGUCAAAAGAAGAUACAAAAGAAUCACCAGGAGGUGAGGGGACAGGCUUAUAGGCUAAGAGGACUUGUUGAGGACUGCAUGUGGAGGAAAGUUUGGGAUGGGUACGAAGAAGGGAAAAGGCUUCAACAUAAAGGAUCUCCUUCCACUUUUUUGAGCGCUCGCAGUAGUUGAACAAGUCACGAAGAAUUUGGGGAUCUAAGGACCCUUCAGCAGACCAUUUACUGAGAUUGUCCAAAGGAUAGUAUAGCCAGUCUUGAGUGCAAAAUUUGAUUAAUAAUUUAGGCUUAAUGUCUAGAGCAAAGGACAGACAGUUCAAAUUGUAAAGAAGGCAUUUUAGAGGGGAGUCAUUCGGAAGGGAAGAAGAGGCCCCCAUGGUGAGGACAGAGGAGAACAAGGAAAGUCAAGGAGAAGAAACUCUGGACCGGAAUUACAAAUGGGACCCAGUUGGGCGUCCCCAAGAGGUAUUUCUGUUUGACGGACUCAUUAGAGUGUGAAACUGGAGGAGCAGUUGGGUCAUCACCCAAGGGCUCUUCCCGUAGGGUGGAAAUGCCAGAGGUCUCGGAGCACUUGGCACUAGGCAUUUGUCGGAGAAGGAGAGGAGAGAGAGAGAGAGAGACUGGGAAGGAGGGGUCUGUUCUUCCCUCUGAUUUCGUUAGGGUAAGGCAGGUACUGUCUUGGGAAAUGACCUAGGAGACCACUGUGGUCAUGAAGACCUAGGUGGGGUGAAUUCUCCUCCCACAGCCAAGCGUCGGAGUUGCCUAAUGAUCAUGGUUCUCUGCAAUAGCAAGACCCAGGUGGUCACUUCAUAGGGGGCCCCACUCACCUAGAGAUCGGCUGGUGUUGGUCCGGAAGAAGCAAGCCCUCGAGAAGGUGGAUGAGGAGGAGAAACUCUGGUAGGUUUGAAUUGGGAGGGGUCCUAAGGGAGAGAUUGUCCCCUCCCCAGGAGAGAAAGAACUGAAACUGAGACAUGGAGUUACCCAUCUAAGAAGUCCGUUUAUUCCAGUACAGCAGAGCCUUUUAUCCAGGGUAGGCAGAGCCCCUUAGGACAGGAAGCAAAUUCUCAUUGGAUUACAGUCAUUAGAAUGGUUUUGUCAUUUGCCCAUUGGUGACUUAUUGGUGCCUUAAUCUGCAUAAAGCGGAAAAUGGACCCAGAAGAGAAGCCUAGUUGGCGCCAACUUGGGGAGGGUAACCCAAUAAGUUUGGAGCCCUAAGCAACGUAGUGACCCUGUCUCAAAAUAAAAAGGACUGGGGAUUUAACUUGGUGGUAAAGUGCCCUUGGGUUCAAUUCCCAGUACAAAAUAAAAACAAAACCAAAAAUAAUUCCCCUACUCCAAAAAAUAUUCCAACCUUGACACACACACACACACACAUACAUUAUGCUGAACCAUUUGAAAGCAAGCUGCACAUUAUAACAUUUCUGCUUCAAAUAAUUCAUUAUUGUAUCUCCUUAUAUAACAUUUCUGCUUAGACAUAGCAUCAUGAUCACACCAAAGAAAACAAACUAUUAUUUCAUAAUAUAAUAAAAUCUACAAAUUUAUGUGAUUUAUAACUUUUGCAAAAUGAAAAUGCAAAACUUUGUAACAACAAAAGAAAAUAAUCUCUUUUUUAAAAAUCAGAUUUUUAUAAUCAACAUGAAUUGUUCCCAUCAAUUUUAUUAUUCAAGGGAUUUAGGAAAGCUGCUUUUACUGGCUGCUCUCCUGGGCGUUUCAGGUUGAAAUUUAAAGUGUUUUUAAGUCAAACAGCUCAUAUAUUCUGUGAAGUAUUGGUGGUAGUAGUAUUGUUUGCUGUAGGUAUUGGCUGGACAAGACAGGAUACUGUAUAAUCUUUAUAUUCAAAAUUAUUUCUGAUAUCUCAAAUAGUAUUUGCUGCUGCUGUUGUUGGAGAUUGAACUCAAGGGCUCAUGCAUAUGUUCUACCAGUGAGUUACUCUCUCAGCCUCAUAUAAUUUUUAAAGCUAGAUGGUACUUGGUAGUGUGUUAUGUUAGCCCUUGUAACACUUUUGAGUAUGACUAAAAUUUUUCAUAAUAAAAAAUGUAUGUAUGUAUUUAUGUAUGUAUACAUCACUAUAAUAAUAGAUUUGACUCAUGACUUCUACUAAGACAAAACUGUGUUUACGAUAUCUUGGGAAAGUUAAAAUUUAGAUGUGAAAACUGUGUGUUUGCAUGGACUUUUAGAAGAAGAAACAUAGCAGUUAAGUCAAACAAAACACAGAAAGAAAGAUUGGUUUAAAAAUUUGAAUGGAUUUUGAGAAAAGGCUGCUUUAUUCUUUGGGAGUUUUGUUUUUGUAAACAUUUCAUUUUUUGUGGGAUGUGAAUCAUGUGUUGGAAUCCCCUGAUUUAGCUGUGGCAUAACUAAGUCUAGAAGGUUUGGGGGAGGCUCUGUUUUUAAAAUUCCCCACUACCAAUCAUGAUUAUGGUUACAUGAGAUUUGUGUCUUGAAAAAAGAGAUGUGUCCCCAAACUCUGGAAUUUUUAACCAUGUACUUUGUAAGCUCAUCUUUGUUCUGUUUGAGCCAUAAUGUUAUGUCUGCUUUUACCACAAUCAUAUGGAUAAGGGACUAGCAGGCCAGGCCUUCUUCCAUCAUGAAACAGGGUAGAAUCUGCUUUUUUUUUUUUUUUUUUUUCUUUUGGUACUAGAGUUUGAACCCAGAAGUGCUUAAACACUGAGCCACGUCCCCAGCCCUAUUUUAUUUUGAGACAGGGUCUCUCUAAGUUGCUGAGGCUAGUCUCAAACUUGGGAUCUUCCUGCCCUAGCCUCUUGGGUUGCAGGAUUACAAGCAUGGGCCAUCAUGCCAAGCUAAAAUCUUGCUUUUUAUAGUCAGUCAAAAGAUCAACCAAAUUCCUUCUUCCUUGCUUCAUGAGGAACUCAAAGAUAAAUAUCCUAGCACUUCUUUUAAAAAGUAGUGGUAAUAAUGCUGUAUUUUGUAUGGGAAAUGUAGUAAGAAAAUUUGGGGGAAGAGUUAUAGUGAACCUUUGAAAACUCUUAGGGUUAAAAAUGUUGUACAGGACUAUGGGUAUAUAUAGCUCAGUAGUAAAACACCUGCCUCACAUGUGUAAGGCCUUGGGCUGAUUCCCAGCAUCUCACAUGCAAAAAAUUAGUACUGUUAUGCAAACAUAAAACAUACAGAUUUUUAAUAUGCUCAAUGACAUAUUAAGAGUAAAGUUAUUAAUUAUAGACUAUUAAAUUCAAGGCAGCCAAAUAUACUUGAAUUUGCAUAAUAUUUAUUAUUUUAGAAGUAAGUUGUUACAUAACACCUUCUUUUUAUUGAGCAGAAAGUGACAUUUGUUAUUCCUUUCUUUUAUAUGUAAGUCUUAUUUCAUGAUAAUAUCUUUCAAUCUGAGCAACAUAAUUCAGUACUUCUUGAUUAUAUCAAUAUUAUAUCUAGUUGGCUUAAAAUGUCUUUAUGAAGCAGCUUUUCAUCUGCUAAUAUCAUCACUAUAACCCGUGUCCUCUUUCCUUCUUUUUUUUUUUUUUUUUGGCGAGGAUAUUGAGCCCAGGAGUGCUCUAGUACUGAGCUAUAUUCCCAGCCCUUUUUAUUUUGAGACAAAUUGCCCAGGCUAGCCUCCAAUUUGUGAUCCUCCUGCAUCAGCCUCCUGAGUAGCUGAAAUAAUAGGUAUGCACCACCACAUCCAGCUUAAUGACUCUUUAUUUAAUAUGUAGUUAUUAUAGUUAAGAUAUGAGGUGUUCCUCAAAAGCUCCUGUGUUAAUGCAGGAAUAUUCAGAGAUGAAAUGAUUGGAUUGUGAAAACUGUAACCUAAUCAGUUCUUCCUAGUUUGAAUGAACUAAUUGGGUGGUAACUAUAAGCAGGUGGAUCAUGGCUGGAGGAGAUGGGUCAUUGGGGGCAUGUUCUGGAAGGGUUCAUCUUCCCUGCAGCCCCUUUUCCCUUCCUUUUCUUUGUUUCCUGGCUAUUAGAAUCAGAACAAUUCUCCUCCUCAACACCUUUCUGCCAUGAUGUUCUUAUCUUGGGCCCAGAGCAAUUGACUCCACUGACUAUGGACUAAAUCUCUGAAACGGUGAGCCCAAAUACACUUUCUCUUCUCUAAGUAGUUGUUCUUAGGUAUUUUGGUCACAGAGACAUAAAAGCUGAUUAACACAAUAGUCAAUUCAUUAUCAUUGAACUCAUGGCCAACGCUGCUAUAACACAUGCCUGGAAAAAAGCUUAUCUAACACAUGUGUUUUCUCUGUAACAUCUGAGUCUUUUUGUACUGGACAAUACUUCAUCAUUAUGCUUAGGAUCAUUUUAAACAGCAACAAAAAACACGAAAUAUGAAAAACAAUGACACCAUAUAGACUCUAAAAAGGACACCUGUUUACAUUAUGAGAGCUGCAACUGGAAGGCAGAGAGUUGAAACUGGAAGCCUUGUUUUACCUCAGCUUGGAAUGCACUCAUGGAGCAACUCAACAUUUUCACUGCUGUGAGUGAUCAUGCCUGCAAAAGUGCCAUAAAUACUGAUUUGGGGAAUAAAAAAAUUUAACAUUUUCAAAUAUGGAAUCUGUGAAUAAUGAGGAUUGACUGUAUUUGCAGUGCCUUUGCCAAGUUCUAUAUGUUCAAAGAUGAAUAAGACUUAACUGUUAAUGCUCAACAAGCUUAAAAAUUAAUCUCAGGGGAGUGAGGUGAACAAAACUAAUAUAAUACAGUGAUGACCACUAUAAUUGAGCUAUGAGCAAGAAUAAGAUUUUUCAGGAAAAAGCACAUAAUUAUCUCUUAGUAUAUAUCAUGGGAUAGUGAGAAGACUAAUUGACUUUGAAAUCAGGACUUGGCACCAGUUCUGGCUUUGCCCUGAAACAGCUGUGUGAUUGUAUUCAAGUCCUUUAACAUUUUGAGUUUUAGUCUAUUCAUUAGAGAUAUGAGGAUGGUAAUACCUAACUUCCAGACUACUAUAGUGACAAAAGAAUCCAAUACUGAACUUGGAAAAUAGUAUGUACUCAAUCAGUUACUUGGGUUUGCGGGGGGCAUGGACAGGGAAGUAAUGGUUCACUUUACAGAAGGUGACAAUCGGCUGUGUCUUGAAGCAUGAGGAAGGUGUCUAUGGGUGCACUGUUGUGAGAGUUUUGAGUUCUAAAGCCCUUUGUAUUUUUGUACUUUAAAUUCCUCUAUCUAUUCAAGUGAGGUGCUAUGAAUGUAAUAGUUACUCUGUUAUUAUGUAUUGACAGUUUGGUUGGUUGCGUGAGUAAAAGGGGAAGGAUAUCUUUGGUAUCUCUUAGUCACAUUUGCGCAGCAACACAUUCUUGGAACACUAUAUAUUAUUAGUCUUUGGAGAUUUAGUUUGUAGUAAUUUAACAGGAGAAAUCAUGUGCUUCAGCUAGGAGUUAUAUACUCCCAUAAGUUUAUUUUGAGUACAAAAGCAUGAAAGAAAAAUGAAGGGGUGUGUGUGUGUGUGUGUGUGUGUGUGUGAGAGAGAGAGAGAGAGAGAGAGAGGAGGCAGGAAUUCUUAAGGGAGAGAUAUUUGAUUUAACAAUAUGGAUAAAUCUUGGCAAUGUCAUAUUAAGUGAAAUAGCAAUUCUUCCAAGAAUAUAUGCAAAGAUAUAAAUAUAAUCUGGAGAAAUUAGGUGGCUCUGUAACAAAAGGAUGAAAGCUAAUGUUACUAACAUGGGGCCUCAGGAUGUGACUUACUAAGAAACUUGUAGCAUGGAUUUUGUUAUAUUCUUGCCCAAAAUGAAUCACUUGAAUCCAAUCAAAGGGAAACAUCAGAAGAACCAAAAUGAAGGACAUUAAUAAAAUACCAGGCACUGACAUGUUAAAUUAUCAGACUUUCAUAAUGGUAAGGUUGUGAGGAGCAAAGAAAGGUUGAGGAAAUGUUUAAGAUUAAAGAAGACUAAAGAGAUAAGACAACUGAGCACAAUGUGUAAUUCUGGACCGGAUUACAUACUUGGAAAGCCUCUAUUAACAAUAUGUUGGGACAACUGACAAAACUUAAAAAUAGACUAUAGAUAGUAUAUAAAUAUGGUUUCAAUGUUAAAUUUGAUAAUUGUGGUUAUAUAAGAAUUUCCUUGUCCUUAGGAAAUACACACUGGCAUAUUGAGAGAGAAAAGAGUCAUGAUAUAUAUAUACACACACACACACAUACAUACAUACAACCUAUUUGCAAGUGAUUUGGAAAAUAUUAAUAAUAUAUAAAUAUAUAUAACAUAUACAUAUAUGUAAGUAUCAGUAAAGCUAUGAGAGAGUCCUUGUAUUAUCCUUACAAUUUUUUGUAAAUAUGAAAUUAUAUCAAGAUAAAAUGUGACUUCAAAAAAGAUAUAGAAAAUAAGACUAAAACAAAAAAAAGGAGGACAAACAGAAUUAUAACUACCAAGAAACCCAAAAAUAUACAGUAAACCAAAUUAGUUAUAGUAGUUAGAUAGGAUGAAACUAUAAAAAGAAAGGAUGUAUGAUGCACAGGUUUUAGCAUGAUGGUGACCAUUAAUGGUGAAAGUGGGAUAACCGGAGAAUAUUCUUAUUCUUAUUCAAAAAAUCCUGACAUUCAGGAAAGAUGAUUAUUGAAACAAGUAAUUAGGAAAAAAAACACAAACCAAAUUAAAGAAGUCCGUGCAUGGAACCUGACAAAAAUAUCAAGAAAAACUUAAUGAACAUAACCUACUCAUUUCAUUUGAAGGCAGUAGACAAAAGGAAAAAUAAAAAAGUGAGAGAAAGAUGAGGGGCAGUAGGAAAGGGAGAAAUUGGAAAAUCUUAAAUCCUUUUAAGAAAAAAGGAAAAACAAAACUCUAGAAAAAAUAAACCGACAAACAAACCAGGAAAAAAGGUGUAUCCCAGAGAAGAUAAGAAUGGAUUAGAAGAGGCAGAAGACCAACGACUCAGAAAGCUGAAGCAGAAAAAAGCCCAAGGCGAACCUGAGAAACGUAAGAGGGACACCCUAUCUCAAAAGAAAAGUGUCAGCCAAAGGGCUGAAUAAAAAGAAAGGGGAAUGUAGCUAAACAGCACACCAAGGGCUGGCCUAAUGCAAGUCUGACACUUACACAGCUGGGGUUUUCCAAAAACUUGGAGUGUUGUGGUCACUUCUGGCUUCUUCAAUACUCCGGGCUAUUAAUUAGGAGGAACCACUAGAUUAACCCAUGGCCAUAAUCACCUACAAUAAAAACUCUAUGUGCA
rnacentral:lncRNA from 1 species